UACGGAGGAUCCGAGCGUUAUCCGGAUUUAUUGGGUUUAAAGGGUGCGUAGGCGGCUUUUUAAGUCAGUGGUGAAAUCCUGCCGCUUAACGGUAGAAUUGCCAUUGAUACUGAGAAGCUUGAGUUCAGUUGAGGUAAGCGGAAUGUGUAGUGUAGCGGUGAAAUGCUUAGAUAUUACACAGAACACCGAUUGCGAAGGCAGCUUACUAAACUGUUACUGACGCUGAUGCACGAAAGCGUGGGGAUCGAAC
rnacentral:rRNA from 1 species